CCUACGGGAGGCUGCAGUAGGGAAUCUUCCACAAUGGGCGAAAGCCUGAUGGAGCAACGCCGCGUGGGUGAAGAAGGUCUUCGGAUCGUAAAACCCUGUUGGUAGAGAAGAAAGGGCGUGAGAGUAACUGUUCACGAUUCGACGGUAUCUAACCAGAAAGUCACGGCUAACUACGUGCCAGCAGCCGCGGUAAUACGGAGGUGGCAAGCGUUAUCCGGAUGUAUUGGGCGUAAAGGGAACGCAGGCGGUCUUUUAAGUCUGAUGUGAAAGCCUUGGGCUUAACCGGAGUACUGCAUUGGAAACUGGGAAACUGGAGUGCAGAAGAGGAUAGUGGAACUCCAGGUGUAGCGGUGAAAUGCGUAGAUAUAUGGAAGAACACCAGUGGCGAAGGCGGCUCUCUGGUCUGUAACUGACGCUGAGGUGCGAAAGCGUGGGUAGCAAACAGGAUUAGAUACCCUAGUAGUC
rnacentral:rRNA from 1 species